GACGAACGCUGGCGGCGUGCCUAAUACAUGCAAGUCGAACGCAGUGGGGACGGGUGAGUAACACGUGGGUAACCUCCCAUCAGAGGGGAUAACACUUGGAAACAGGUGCUAAACCGAUACUGAUGGAUGGACCCGCGGUGCAUGCGCUAGUUGGUGGUGUAACGGCUCACCAAGGCCACGAUGCAUAGCCGACCUGGGAGGGUGAUCGGCCACGCGUGGAUGGAGACACGGCCCAGACUCCUACGGGAGGCACCAGUAGGGAAUCUGCGGCAAUGGACGAAAGUCUGACCGAGUAACGCCGCGUGAGUGAAGAAGGUUUACGGAUCGUACAACUCUGUUGUUAGAGAAGCGGUAUCUAACCAGAAAGCCCCGGCUAACUACGUGCCAGCAGCCGCGGUAAUAC
rnacentral:rRNA from 1 species